CGGUUCCAGCCCGCCGCCGCCGAGGCGUUGCCCCAGGCCGGGCAGGGCGGCCCGGGCGGGCGGCAGGCGGAGGCGUUGGCGGCGAACGGGACCUCCAGCGCUCCGGCGAGGAGCGGCGCGGACGCGUUGCCCAGCAGCUGCAAGAGUCAAGGCUGAAAACACAGAGAUGCUGUAACUCUUCAAAAUGCAUCUUACAUGGUUUCACCUGGAGCAUCCUCCUCUCAGUAACAUCUGCUGCACUCCCAAUGGAUCCCCAUGUGCAGAGUGUGCAUCCACCUAGGAGAGCACGAGGCACUGGUGACUGGCAGCAUUCCUGCAGGCUCAAACACUGAAAAUUACUUCUCAAGAUGGGUAUGUGGCAAUUUCUGUACUUGCUAUGUCAUGUUUCUAAAUACCCAAAAAACCCCAAAACCAAAACCAAAACCAAACAAAACAAAAAAAGAAACCAAACCCUAAACCAAACCAAACAAAACAAAAAACCCCAACCAAUUAAACAAAAAACCCCAAGACCACAAGCCAGAAAGAGACAAAAAUGAGGAAAAGAUCUUGUAGAUUUUUUUUAAACAAAAUCUUAAUUAAUUUGUAUAAAGCAGCAGAUUACAUACUGAAAUCUGAAGAGUUGGGUUUUGAGAGCAGAAGAGUUUGUGGAGAGAAUGAUAAGAAAGGUGAAUCUGCUUUUGUCCCUGAGUGGAGAAGUAAGAAAAGAUGGAGAAUUCCAGCAGAUACUAAUUACAACCUCAGGAAAAAUAUGUGAGAACCUUCAGCUCCCUGAGAUCCCUGAAGUCCUUCUUUGCUUCCAGAAAAAAUGUGCCAUGCAGACCUGAGACAUGUCCAUUUCUCAUUUGUACAAAUAUUGAGGCAGUAGUAAACAGAAUUUUCUCCUCUUUUAGGGGAAUUUAGAUCCAGAAAAGCAAUGGUGGAAUUAAUUUCCCCCAGUUUAAAUUAACUAAUGGAUAUCUAGACUAAACUGUGGUUAAAUGCCCCUUUUUUUUAUUCUCAGUGAUGAAUAGAGAAGGGGUGUUUUGCCCCAGUACAGAAGGGUCAUUUCCCAUAGAGAGUAACUACACAAUGAAUCUGAUUUGCAGUGAUUUAACAUCUUUUUACUUUGAUUGUUUUGCUGUCUUUCAUCUAGGUUUUUUGAAUUUUUCUUUGCUGUUAUGCAUAUUCUAAAAGGUAAAAAUGGUAGGAUUAGGAAAAAUACAUACCAUUUCUAAAAGUCUACUAAAAUAAAAAAAAUAGUAGUUUAAUCAAGCAAUCUCAAUGAUGUUCAUUGUGUAGGACUCUCGUUCAAAUCAAUGAAAAUGUAUGCUCAUAAACCUGUAAAAAAUCUAUGAGGUCUAAUUAUAGGAAGCUUAAUUGCUUCUAGUAACAGCAGUAUGAAAAAAACCCACAGUUUUUCCUAUGAAUGCAGGAAUUGAUUCAAGAAUUCCAUUACAAUUUGUUAAAACAGAAAGGAAAGCUUUCAAUAUUUCUUGUAUUAGGAGGCAUUUAUAAUUAGUGGUAUAUUUUAUUUCAUGGACAUAAAGUUUUCAUAGCAUUUUUAUAUAUAUUCCUCUCUCUAAAAAUAAAAUAUAGCUUUCUCUAAGUGAGUUAUAACAUGAAAUAUGUGUGCAAUGUCUUAUUUAUCACUAUGUUUUUAAUAUACCAUGCAUUAUGUAUUAUUCACUGUAAUGAUUUUUUUAAAGUUUUAUAACUUGUGAAGACUGCCAAGUUUUCAGAGCUAUAUUUUUCAGGACCACAUGAAGUUUACCUGUUGCUUGUAUGGAUACAACUAAUGAUGAUAUUUUCAAUAAUAAUGAUGAUAAUGAUUCUGUUGAUGAUGAUAUUAAUAAUAAUAAUCUGUGAGAAGUAAAACUUCUUGAAAUCUUGUCAUUUUAACUAGAUAAAUUAUAGAGCUUAGUAGAUCAUAUUACUCCAUAUAGAAACCUUAUCCUUCUUGUAUAUUGAGGCCAUCAAAUCACUAGGGUAAUACACAGUUUUCUCAAACGUUAAUUGGUGUAGCUAAAGUGGACCCAGAACUUUGACCGUGUAAAGGUUUUCUGUUAGUCAACAAAAAAUAUUUUAUUUUGAAAGUACAAAGGCAAGAUAUCUCAUGAAAGGUUAAUACUGGUUUUUAUGAAAAAAACACUGUUAUGGUUUAAUUAAAGGAUUAAGCCCUCACUCCUCUUUUCCCCUCUGCUCUCUUCCCUAUAAAUGAAAAAAUAUGUUUUGUCAGCAAGAAACAAAUAGACCAAAAAGGGAGAGACUAAUACAGGAGAAACAAAUAUUCAUGCAGGAUUUUGUUUUCUACAUUGCUGAAGGAUAGAAGUAAUAUUUAAGUUUGAAAAUUUUACUUGAUUUUUUUAUUAUUUUCUUUUUAUGCUAAAUAUAAUUUAAAAUCUAUUUAUUUUUAAGACACAAGAGAUAUCUGUAAGAUUCCUGAAUACAUGUUCACACCCUUAGUUAUCUAAAUAUUUAGAGAAACAUCCUUAAGAUAAUUUUUGACUUUUAAGUGGUUUUCAGUGUACUAAUUCUGUUUUAAUAGAAUUGGAAGAUCUCUGUUGUUAAGUAAAUAAAAUCAAUUUCAUAAAAAGUUGUUUUUGUAAGAUGCUCUGUAAAUCGGGCAGGUGAUAAAUGUAACCUGACUUUGGUCAUAUUUGUGAAACUUUUGGCAAAAUACAUGCAACUAUAUGAAGACACAGUCCAGAGGUCCACAUUCAGUUUAAUUCUCCUUCUUGGAGUCAAUAGAGGAAAAAAAUCUUGAAAGCAACACACAACAUCUUAAGAAAGUUAUUAAGAACUGACCAAAAGAGUUCUGUAUUUAAAAUAUCUGCUCUGUGCCAACAGCAAAGGCAACAUGAAGUGAAUGAAUAUCUGCACUGAAGAUGUUGAAAUUGGAACAUGAUGAAUUGUGCUGUGUUUCAAAUUAUAUUCUUGUAAGGGAAGGAGAGCAACUCAGACCAAGCUGAAGAACUGUUAAGGUGUGGUGACUGGGUAGAGAAAAAUUAUAGAAGUUACUGAAUUGUGCUAUAAUUAUUGAUAUUUUUUUGUUAAAUUUGAUUUAUUGAUGUUCUGUAUAUAUUUAUCAUCAAGAGACUUUUUCAUCAAGGCAUUUUCCCUACUGACUGUAUGAUGAGCUAAUGUAUGUUCCUUACAUUUGCAAAAGACAUCAAGUUAGGAGAAAGGCACUACCAAGACACUGACAGAAUUCAAAGUCACCUUAGCAAAUUCAAAAGUGUGCUGAAAAACAUAGGAUAUUCAAAAAGGAAAAAUGUGAAGUUCUACACUUAUGUAACAAAGCAUACAACAACAUGAACUAGAGAAUAAGUUGGGCAGCUCCUCUUCAUAUUCAGGGCUGUUGGUGACACAAAUUAGAAGUUCAAGAUGAAUCUAAAAAGGUGACGUUCUUUCGCUACCAGCAUAAUUCUGCAAUGCUUCAAAAAACCUAUUGUUUUAUUUAGGAAAUUAACCUCUCCUCUUCAUUGGGAUGGGUUUAUCUAGGGUAGCGUGCAGUCUGGAGCAGCUCUGGAAAGCCUUUCCAGGAAGAGCAUACACUGACUGAAGACAGUCUGGGAGAGAUAAAAAAAACACAAUGUGGAAAAUAUGGUGAAGGCAGACUAAAUGGACUCCCUGUUUAGGCACUUAUUUAUGGAACUACACCUAACUCCCUUUAGGUGUUAGGACACCUCCGACAGGCAUAAAGAUUGAUUUUGUGUGUUCCAAAACCGCUUCCUCUUUUAACAACAAACUUUCCUCCUAUGGAAGUUUCCUAUUGAAGCAACUUUUACUUGUGCUUUUUCCUGCAAUUUGCAGGUUAUUUUUGAGCAAAUUAUCUAGAAAAUAACAUAAAUGGGGGGGUCCAGGUCUUGACAAGUUCCAUGUGAUAGAUAAACUGUGCUGGUGUUAACUUACUUUUAGCCACAAAAUUUUGAGCUUACUCUUAAACCAAAGAAUUUUCUCCAGACCACAUUAAAUUUUCUUUAGAGGUAAACAGAAAGCCUCCUUAUGGCUGCCAGGUUUCUCUGAUUUGAAGACUCAAAAGUAAAAACCAACAUGAAUUAUAGUUGGAAGUCUUUGAAAAUUGACAGAAAAAUGGUGUGGUGAUAAAGCAUGUCUCUAUGUAUACCAAUUUUCACUCCAUAGAUCCAGUUACUACCUCUAUUUGCUUUGAUGAUGAAAAAUAUUUCAGUUUGCAAAAUAUCACAUGGUCAUAAUCAGACACCCUAAGCCACAUUCCAUGCUGUUGGUGAACAGCUGGGUGCUAACAGAAAACCAGAAUGAGCAGCAGCAGUUGUUGCAUUUUUACUCUACCCUAUAAAAUGGAAGUACCUCAGAGAAUUUAGAAACAGAGGUAGUCAAUAUACUUCUGAUUUUGAAAAUGCACCAUACAAUACGGGAUACCUUUUGGUGAAAAUUAUUGUAAAAAACACUUUUUUGUUUUUUGCUUGGGGGUUUUAUUUUGUUUUGGUUUUAUUUGGUUUUACUGGCUCUAGACUGCAGGGGAUAGAUAAUGACAUGGUUAUUCAUUUUUAAACAAGGACUAGUUUUCUUUAAAUUAUUUUAUUUUUUCAUGAGUUGCAAGAUUUUUAAAGAAUAAUUUAAGGAAUUUUCAAAAAGACGGAAUAAUUGGAUUACAUAAUUUAAGUAAUAUUUUAUUAAAAAUCAGAAGGUAAUGUUAUAUUAUGCUGCUAUAAUUCCAUUUACAGCUAUGGAAAUUAUAAAAUGCUUAAAGGGAAAAUGGUUAAGAUAACAGCAAUUAGUUUGGUCCAAAGGGAAAUGGAUACAGGGAAUUUUGAUUUGUUUGAACUAGUCAGCUUGUCAUCUAAUAAACCAAACCACCUAUUUUCCUCCCACUUCUCCAGUUAAUAUGAAGAAAGUGAAUUCCAGCACAUUGAAGUUCUGGUCUCUGCAACUUCUCUUUGGAAAUGUAGCCCAAUGAGGAUAUGGGUAGUUUGGAGCAUGUUCCCUCUUGGGUUCCACAAUGGAUCGCACUGAAUCGAGCUGCCUCCUCCUGGAAAGACUUAACCCAGAAAGGAACAUCUAUGAAUUCCAGCCAUGGAAUAUCAUGAACUCAAGCAACAAAAGUCAGAGGCAGAAUUUCCAGCAGCCUCCUCCAUGAGCCUCAACCUUUGUUAUCCUUCAGUCUGAUGCUACUGUAUCAGUCUUGCUGCCAUCAAGAUUGUCAGUCCACAAAACUUUCUGUUUAUCCCUGCUGAUUUUGUGGAACUUUUCAAUUCUUCUCUAAAUCUCCUGGUUAUUCAACUGUAAUAGUUUUCUCAAGUUGGUAAAUAAGUUAAAAAUAAUUAUUAGCUCUAGCACAUCCUAAAUUUUCUUUAGAUGCUUUUAGGAAUAUUCUAAGAUGUUCAGUAAGCUUCUGCCAAACUGACUGGGACAUUGCCUGUUGAGUGUUCACCUGUUUUCAGGACGUCUUGGAUGCAAUUGUUUUCUAAAAGACAAAUAUGCCAGCUUGUGUAAUUUUCCCUAAUAUCUCGAAAUACAAAGGCUUUUGUGUGUCUGACAGGGUUCUUCUAGACAUUAAUCAUCGUUCUAAUCAGACUGUCCAACACUUCCCAACCCACAGACAGCUGUGGCAAAUGGCACAGCUAGUGCCUGGGCAAAUCCCUCUAAACCAUUUUAAUGUAACAGAAGUAAUUAACUCUAUUAACAUGGCUGGAUCAGUCUACACUUAGAACUAAUCAACCUAAUUGUCAUGCUAAGAGAAUUAAACCCUUUAGAUGAAAAAGAAUGCAUCUGGGUUGGUAAUUUGGGGAAAAAACCCUAACCUGUUAGAUAGAAAAUACAUUGGGACAGAGUUGAAUAAAUGUUGUAAUAAGCCCCAAAAGAAUUUAAAGGAAAUAAAAAAUUUUUGAAUUGUUUUAAAUCAUAAAGCAAAUUUUCAAAAGAUAUUAAAAUUAUCCUACUAAUGCCAUGUAAAUGGCAAGAAAAUAUGUUUAUUUCAAAUUUAUGAGUCCACAGUUAUUCAUUUAAAACAAUUCAUAAAGUGUUCAGUAUCAAAUGAACAA